AGUGAACGCUGGCGGUAGGCCUAACACAUGCAAGUCGAACGGCAGCACAGUAAGAGCUUGCUCUUACGGGUGGCGAGUGGCGGACGGGUGAGGAAUACAUCGGAAUCUACUUUUUCGUGGGGGAUAACGUAGGGAAACUUACGCUAAUACCGCAUACGACCUACGGGUGAAAGCAGGGGAUCUUCGGACUCUGCGCGAUUGAAUGAGCCGAUGUCGGAUUAGCUAGUUGGCGGGGUAAAGGCCCACCAAGGCGACGAUCCGUAGCUGGUCUGAGAGGAUGAUCAGCCACACUGGAACUGAGACACGGUCCAGACUCCUACGGGAGGCAGCAGUGGGGAAUAUUGGACAAUGGGCGCAAGCCUGAUCCAGCCACACCGCGUGGGUGAAGAAGGCCUUCGGGUUGUAAAGCCCUUUUGUUGGGAAAGAAAAGCAGCAGGUUAAUACCCCGCUGUUCUGACGGUACCCAAAGAAUAAGCACCGGCUAACUUCGUG
rnacentral:rRNA from 1 species